CUUUAGGAUUGACUGGUUUGAUCUCCUUGCAGUCCAAGGGACUCUAUAAGAGACUAAAGAAACUAUAAGGGACUCAUGUGCAGCUGGGGCAGUUAUGAGCCAUAGGAUACAAAAAGGCCACAAACCAAUUGCUGUUUCUUAGGUGCCUGAAGCAAAAGCAGGAUACUGCACAUGAUCCCAGCACACAGCACCACCACGGGGGUGGGCAGACCAUCCAAGCUAGCCAGCUGCUGCCCCACCCAGGGACCUGGCCCGUGUUACCUUAUCUAAGGACCUAAGCAGCUCCUCUCCAGCAGCCAGCAAGGAUACCUGUUCCUUGUCGCUCCCUCAUGCUGCCGCAUGGACCCCAGUAGAGGUGUGCCUGCCUGUUACCAAUUUCUAUUGAUUGAAGAGUCCAAGGGCCCAGGGGCUGCUGGAGCUGCUCAGGGAGUCAUCUUGGCUGCUCUCUGCAAGGACAAUGAUGUGGGGCCAGCAAACAGUUCAAGAACAAGCGUGAGGAGCCUAGGCUGCUGGCUCAGGAAGGACUUUCGAGGCGCCAAUACAAGCAAGCUAUGGUGAAGAGGCGACUCAGCAGUCAUGAGCUGGUAGAUGCAAAACAUUGAGGAUGAGACCUCACGGGGGAUAAAGGUGUUUGUCGUGGCCUAAAGCCAUCAACUUACAACAGCUAAGUGUGGCCAGAGCAUGAAGAAGAUGGAAAAUGGGUGGGAGAAACAGAUGAUGAGUAUCAGUCAUGGCCUUGAGAUCAGCUGGGGCAGGGGACCAGCACUUGUCUCUCACCCACUUGCAUUAAAAGUCUGUCAAAGGUCACAGACUUGAGUAAAGACUCAGUUGGACUUAGAGGGUCCCUGACAGAUACGAGAGGUGCAGGGGACAUUCCUGUGCCUUCGUUCAAAUCCCCUCAGCCUCACUUGCUACCUGGCUGACUGUUUCAGGGACCAGGUCUGUUCAGGCUUCAACACAGCUCAAUCCAUGGUAGGGUGACUGUGUCCUGCCCCAGGGCUUCCUGGAGCGGCUAUGUGAAUGUCAAGUUCACUGGGUGCUCACCCAGGGAUAACCAGAGAUGUAGGGCAGUUAGUGCUGGGGGCCACCUGUGGCCAAU
ensembl:lncRNA